AGUGAACGCUGGCGGUAGGCCUAACACAUGCAAGUCGAACGGCAGCACAGUAAGAGCUUGCUCUUACGGGUGGCGAGUGGCGGACGGGUGAGGAAUACAUCGGAAUCUACUUUUUCGUGGGGGAUAACGUAGGGAAACUUACGCUAAUACCGCAUACGACCUACGGGUGAAAGCAGGGGAUCUUCGGACCUUGCGCGAUUGAAUGAGCCGAUGUCGGAUUAGCUAGUUGGCGGGGUAAAGGCCCACCAAGGCGACGAUCCGUAGCUGGUCUGAGAGGAUGAACAGCCACACUGGAACUGAGACACGGUCCAGACUCCUACGGGAGGCAGCAGUUGGGAAUAUUUGACAAUGGGCGCAAGCCUGAUCCAGCCAUACCGCGUGGGUGAAGAAGGCCUUCGGGUUGUAAAGCCCUUUUGUUGGGAAAGAAAAGCAGCAGGUUAAUACCCCGCUGUUCUGACGGUACCCAAAGAAUAAGCACCGGCUAACUUCGUG
rnacentral:rRNA from 1 species